rnacentral:rRNA from 1 species
GGGUUGUGAGGUUAAGCGACUAAGCGUACACGGUGGAUGCCCUGGCAGUCAGAGGCGAUGAAGGGCGUGCUAAUCUGCGAUAAGCGCCGGUAAGGUGAUAUGAACCGUUAUAACCGGCGAUACCCGAAUGGGGAAACCCAGUGUGACUCGUCACACUAUCAUUAACUGAAUCCAUAGGUUAAUGAGGCGAACCGGGGGAACUGAAACAUCUAAGUACCCCGAGGAAAAGAAAUCAACCGAGAUUCCCCCAGUAGCGGCGAGCGAACGGGGAGGAGCCCAGAGCCUGAAUCAGCAUGUGUGUUAGUGGAAGCGUCUGGAAAGGCGCGCGAUACAGGGUGACAGCCCCGUACACAAAAGCGCAUGUGCUGUGAGCUCGAUGAGUAGGGCGGGACACGUGGUAUCCUGUCUGAAUAUGGGGGGACCAUCCUCCAAGGCUAAAUACUCCUGACUGACCGAUAGUGAACCAGUACCGUGAGGGAAAGGCGAAAAGAACCCCGGCGAGGGGAGUGAAAAAGAACCUGAAACCGUGUACGUACAAGCAGUGGGAGCACCCUUUGGGGUGUGACUGCGUACCUUUUGUAUAAUGGGUCAGCGACUUAUAUUCUGUAGCAAGGUUAACCGAAUAGGGGAGC